CUUCAUCAUUAGGCGAGUCAGUGUGCCACUGGACAUUUUAUUUAGUAGCUUACUGUAGGAUAUAUAUAUUUCCUCCUAAUAUUGUACAAUCUGUGUGUCGCUUCAUUGGCCUGGGCUGUUUGAAUUAAAGAACAGAUUGAUCUCAGUUUGUCAGUGUCAGAGUAGCCACUCAUUCGGUCAUUUGUGUGUAUUAAAAAAGAUUCAGCUAAUGGCUUUGACAUAUAAAUGAGGUGGAAUUGCAUGAAAUUAGUUUUUUAAAAAGCAGAUUUUUUUCCGGACCCUACCCAGAAUUGUUCCCCUUUAGCCUAUACCACAUCACAAAUGUUAUUAUGGCUUUAUUAUAAAGGGACUUUUUCUUCAACAGUAAAUUUACCACCCAUCGAAUAGCAUCUUGGUGCACGGAUUUGUUUACAGAAAAUUAUGGUGUGCAGGAAGGGGGGUCUAUAGAAAUAAAUAAAAAGCCCUGGAGGGUAUGAUUUCUUAAUCUGGCCCUGAGCAUAGACUAUAUCCUGCCUAGUGGUGCAAACUGUUGAGUUUCGGCAAUGCAGCUUCAGCGAGCUAACAUCCUAAAAGCACACAAUAAAUGACUGAGGAGGAGUUAUUGGUGUAACAGUAAUAUAUGCCUUCUGUGCUAUAUGCUGUUAUAUUCGGUUAUAUUAUGUAAAAUAGGCCUACAUAAUGUAAUUAUUAUGCCUAUGCGAUCUUGCAAGACACACUCGGACAGCGUCGUACAUGAGCCCCAAGUCCAUAAACUGUUUUGAAGACAGCCGUUUUAGCAACCCCUCGUAGUUUUCUGUCUGUGGCGGUUCUUGUUACGUUGGAUUUGGUCCGCUCAAAGUGAGCGCAGAGCGUUUCGAAGUUGGACCAGGAAAGAGAUCGCCACCCAGCGCGUUCCAUACCCGCCCUAUUUUUGUCACUUGUUGCUGCAGUUCGGCAGCGCACUCAGCGACUGAAGGUCGCUGUCCCCAUGGUAUGUGCCAGUGGGGUCGAUGCCAUGCUCGUCACUAAUCACUUCCCAGAACUAGAGGAAAGAAAUGAUGGAACAGGUGUUAGCUCCAACUCCAAGUCACAUCCCACAGCCAUCCAAAAAGGAAAGAACUGAGGGUUCCUGAGGCCAAUGCUGUCCCUAUAUCCAGUGGAAUGUGAUUUGGGCCAUGAAGUAUUUGUUUUGUUUGGAGACAACUGAUGGCGACCAUGGUGAUAGUCAUGGUGAUGACAGCUUUGGAGGAGGUUGUGCGUUGACUUUGGACGGAGUCCACCUGGCAUAAUAACUUGACAUACAGUAUUGAAGUUCUAUACUUUUUACAACAACUUUCCAUUUUGUGAGUGACAAAUAAACUAUGAAUCAUCAUUGUAGUUUAGUUUCACUGGAGAAUGAUUUUCUAUGCCCCCAGUCUAUAAAUGUUGAAGUAGUUUGUAUGCAACUCAGACACAUCAAGUUUAUUAGAUAUACAUUUGUAAUUCAAGCGAUGGAGAUUUUCAGUGGAUAUGAAUGCCCUACAAUACAGCUAAAGUACCCCAGGUGUGGCUGCACCUAACAUUAGUGAUUUCAAUGGGGCCAACUGCUUGACCACCUCACAUUGCUGUAUUUCCUAUAGGUGUUUUCUUCCUAUAAAAAAGACGCCAAGGCUAACAAAGAGUGCAGGGAUUAGCCAUUGUAAUGCAGCUCCAGUAUGCACACAGUAAAAGCACUUUAAAGGGGCAAAGGAGAACAUUUGCCAAAACGAGGACAUGGGAAAAUUGACUUGCGUCCUUUGUUUCUAUUCCAGGAUGUUUCUAUUGUCCUCAUUUAACCAGACUUCCUUUGAUUCACCCCUUGUUUUUUCACCCAUAUUUGACCAGGGAUAAAUAAAUUCACCACUACAGAAAGUCAGUGAGUUGAACACAGUUGAAUUCAGUAGCUUGGCUUAAACCUCACUACUGAAUGAUGUGGUGGUAGAACAUAUUGGCAGGACUGCAUCAGGACUGUACCUUCUAUGUUAAUCUUCACACCAUAUGUAUAAGGUACCUCAUUUCAUUGGUGAGAACAAUAAAGCCUUUAUAAAGCACUUUUAAAUUCGAUAGAGAGGCUUGAUGGGCCUUCACUCCACUAGGAGCUGAAAAAUAAUACAGUAGAAGUGGGAAGUUUACAUACACCUUAGCCAAAUAUAUUUACACUCAGUUUUUCACUAUU